GGCGACUUAGUUCAGUGGUAGAAUUCUCGCUUCGGAUGCGAGAGGUCGUGGGUUCAAUUCCCUCAGUCGCCC
rfam:Amphiamblys sp. WSBS2006 Amphi_40, whole genome shotgun sequence.